CUGUACUGCGGUAUGACAGAACUGUGGGGACACGUAAGGAAAGCGGAAGCCGGGAAUGGAGAGCCCGGUGCAAGCGGGGUACCAGCCACUUUGGCAAAUCCGGGUGGCAAUGGGAAGCCGUGAUGCGGAGUGAAAUAAAGUAACGAAGUCCGUGAGCCAUGCGUCAAGAAAAGCCGCUAUUGUUUAUACCGUACCCGUACCGUAAACCGACACAGGUGGAUGAGGAGAGAAUCCUAAGGCCGGCGGAAAAAGCAUUGUCAAGGAACUCGGCAAAAUGGCCCCGUAACUUAGGGAUAAGGGGUGCCUCAGAAAUGAGGCCGCAGAGAAUAGGCCCAAGCAACUGUUUAGCAAAAACACAGGUCUAUGCGAAACCGAAAGGUGAGGUAUAUGGGCUGACGCCUGCCCGGUGCUGGAAGGUUAAGAGGAGAGGUUAGCGCAAGCGAAGCUUUGAAUUUAAGCCCCAGUAAACGGCGGCCGUAACAAUAACGGUCCUAAGGUAGCGAAAUUCCUUGUCGGGUAAGUUCCGACCCGCACGAAAGGCGUAAUGAUUUGAGCGCUGUCUCGACAAUGCAUCCGGUGAAAUUGAAGUACCAGUGAAGAUGCUGGUUACCUGCGCCAGGACGGAAAGACCCCAUGGAGCUUUACUCCAGUUUGGUACUGGGACUCGGUAUUGCAUGUACAGGAUAGGUGGGAGGCUAGGAGAUAGUAACGCCAGUUAUUAUGGAGCCGCUGUUGGGAUACCACCCUUGCAGUAUUGGGUUUCUAACCAGCCGCCGUGACCCGGCGGUGGGACAAUGCCAGACGGGGAGUUUGACUGGGGCGGUCGCCUCCGAAAGGGUAUCGGAGGCGCCCAAAGGUUCCCUCAGAAUGGACGGAAACCAUUCGAAGAGUGCAAAGGCAGAAGGGAGCUUGACUGCGACACCGACGGGUGGAGCAGGUACGAAAGUAGGGCUUAGUGAUCCGGUGGUAUUAAGUGGGAAUGCCAUCGCUCAACGGAUAAAAGCUACCCUGGGAUAACAGGCUUAUCACUCCCAAGAGUUCACAUCGACGGAGUGGUUUGGCGCCUCGAUGUCGGCUCAUCGCAUCCUGGGGCUGUAGUAGGUCCCAAGGGUUGGGCUGUUCGCCCAUUAAAGCGGUACGCGAGCUGGGUUCAGAACGUCGUGAGACAGUUCGGUCCCUAUCCGGCGUGGGCGUAGGAUAUCUGAGAGGAGCUGUCCUUAGUACGAGAGGACCGGGAUGGACGGGCCGCUGGUGCAUCGGUUAGACUGCCAAGUCUACGGCCGAGUAGCCAAGCCCGGAAGGGAUAAACGCUGAAGGCAUCUAAGCGUGAAGCCCCCCUUAAGAUGAGAUAUCCCAUUCGAAAGAAGUAAACCCCCUUGAAGACGACGAGGUAGAUAGGGCAGAGGUGGAAGUGCAGUAAUGCAUGGAGCUGACUGUUACUAAUCGGGUGAGGGCUUGACCG
rnacentral:rRNA from 1 species